AGGAGGUGGCCCUCAGCCCGCGCGGAGGCCGCAGGGCUGACACUCGAGAGGCGGGGCUGUGUCGUGUGGGGUGACGGAAGAAACACGGGACUGGCAGGCGGAAUACCUCCCGCUCAAGGUUUCCGUUCUCAACUGUAAAGUGAGCAGUUUGGCCCCAGCUGAGGACAUUUAAGAACUCUCGGGUUCUUGAAGUCAAUAAUUUUCCUCAUCGUGCAGGAGUCCACCAUCCGGAACCAGAAGAGCCCUGGAUGCUAGACCAGGCGGCGUCUAGACAGUGAUCCACGUCAGAAUGCUCCCUGGAGGAACCGGAGUCUUCCAACGUAAUGUCAACGGGAUACUCAUACCCAGCGGUCUCUUUUCAAAGGACGGGGCCCGAGCAAAAGGAGGCUUGAGACAAGUUGCCUUCUCAACCCAGCCAUAGUCUAUGAAUUUGUUGUUUAACCCAAACUCAAUUGAGGGUUGCAGGAAAGAGGAGAGGAAACAUCUCACACCCAAGUGGCCCACACCGUAAACAAAGGGGAGUCUCGCUGUGCCAGCUCUUGGCUUCAGCGAGGCCCAGCAGGAAGCCGAUGUCCCCGUGCCAGGGUGAGGGCAGUCACCGAAGCAGAUGCUGGGCCACUGAGAACGAUUGAUUUCAGAAGCUCAAAUUCCUCAGGGUGGCCGCCCUCCUCCUCCUCCUCUUGGUGGGAGGGCAGAGGUGGCUGGGAGCUGUGUUGUCCACUGCCGGCUGCCAGCGCUGCUCGAGCUGGGAGAGCUGUCACCAGUCUCAGGCUCCAGGCAGGAGGUUUGUUGGGAAUGAGCAUUGUCUACUUAUGAAGAUUUAUGGAGAAGCUGACAACCACUACACUUUGAAGCAGAACUCAGAUGCCUGUCAACGAGCUCAGAUGACAAAUUUGCCUGUGAUAAUGUGCUGAAGCAAUGUGCAUUUUAGCUGAAGCCUCCUGGAAUCCACUGUUGUUGUGCUACCGGAGGCCUGCGGUGACUCGGAGGGCGGGAUUUCAGGUGGCUUCUAGAAGGAAGGAUUCAUUUGUUCAAGAAACUUUACAUGCCAGACCCUGGAGGGAGUGGGGGCUGACAGGCGACACACAGUGGCUGCCCCACCCCACACGAACUCUGUGAGGGCCGACGGAUGCCCAGGAAGUCGCCGGGAGGGACCAGGGAAACUUGCAAAGACAGACGCCUCUCUGACAAGAACCGAGGCCGGUCAUGUGUUGGUGUAAAACAAAAUGACUAGAAUCUCUGCCAACUCGGUUGAUCACUCAUUAGGACUCAGGGACGCCCACGUGCGGGGUGGAGCCGUCGGGGAAUGGGACAGGGGGGCCUGAAGCUUGCGUCUGCUCCGUGUUCUGCUGUCAAAGACGCCCACAGAGCCAUUACCUAACGGCCCUAAGAUUAUAACAAGUCACAGAGACGGCGUCCCGACCACAGUGAAGCCCUCUGGGUGGAAGAGGAGGCUCCGGAGUUAGCCACAGCUGGCUUGGAUUUCGCCUUCACCCUCCAUGACCCGGACAACCACAGAUAUGUCCAUCUUGUCCAGACUCGGUUUCCUCAUCAGUAGAAUAGGGUCUCAGGAGAAUGUAACUCCCCCAUGACGCUCCUGUGAAGUGGCAUGAGACAGUGCCUGCACGUGCCAGCGAUCAACAGCGUCAGCUGUGCAGACACACUGACCCACGGUGGGGCAGGGCCGGGCGUGUGUGCAGGUGGCAGCUCAGCCUCUGGGCACACGGGGGGCAGCCCAUGCCUUCUGUCUCCGAAUUUGGACUGAUAUUUUAACUUCUGAAUUAGACUUAGCUUUGCAAUAAGGUCUCCGUUCUGGUUGUCUCUGGCCUUGUUUGUCUCCGGGCCCCGCCUCACCACGCUGCUGAUCCCAGGGCAAGAGGGGUUUGCAGCACCGUGUCAGGUCAUGGCUAUAACCAGGGAGACAGACGUGUAACACGCUUCGUCUCUGGCUCCCCAGACUACCAGGUACAGUACACGCCCCAGAACCCAUUUGCCUUAUUUCGCCACUUUCAGCAAUUUUGUCCACUAUCUGCAAAACAGAUUUUGCUGCAUUCCAAGCAAGGGACGUAUACACCCCAUGGGCCUGAAGUUAACAGACUGCUGAGAAAUCUCUCCAUUUUCUUACUAAGAGAAACUUGUCCUUGACUAGAGCCCAGGAAAAAGCUCUCCAAAUUACAGCUCUGAUUUUGAAUGAGCCUCAGAUGUGUCUACAUCUCUUGGACAAGGAGACUUACAGGGAGGUAAGAGAAGCCUG